GAAGCAGAGCAAGGGAAUCAUAAGGGAGGCAAUGGGGAUGGGAAGGUUUGAUGGAUAAUCACCAUUUCUUAACCAUAUUUGGACCUUCCAAGAAAAUUAUGGCAGAUUGAACCUCUCCAGAGCUCAUGCUUCUAUCAACCAGGGCGGGCACUUUUUGCGGUCCCAAGCCUGCUCAUGGACAAGGACGAGUACAGAAAUUAAUAAUAUGUCUUUCAUCAAAGAAUAUUUCCAUGGUGGAUUGUCUGCAUGAGUGGAACAGACAGUGGCGAAGCAUAGGAGUGACAAGCCACGUGGAAGACACGGAGACGUCGAGGAAAUACCCUCCCCUGCAGUAACAAGGUUGGCGGAGGUUUGUGGAUGAAGCAUCCAAGUUGGUCAGUAGCUUCUACCGAAGGACAUCAUGCUCAGACCUUCCAAGCAUCAGAUGGAAACACUACAUGGACAGUAGGAAUAUUGCAAUGAAGUCGAUUGUUUGAAGAUGAUGGUGGAGCUCUAAACACUAUGCGUGCAAAUCUGAUGAAGAAUCUCACGGAAGAGUUUCAUGAAGGAGAACAAGGCAACAAUCACAUGAUUGAAAACUUGAUUGGUUAGGACAUGGUUAAUUAUUUCUGCAUCUUUCUUUCUUGAAAGGUGUAAUUUUUGCAGUGUUCAAAGUCAAACCGAACUGGUAAAUGCAUGCUUGUCUGAAAAGUCACAUACUCAAGUAUUGUAUCAAUUGGCACUCACCUCAGGACUUGUGAGCUCUCUGAUUGGCGAUUUAUGAAAUCCUCUAAAGAUCAAUAUUACCUGGAGUAUGUUGUUCUUUGAGUUGCCUCACACCAGAUCCUGCAGAAAGUCCAUGGCGUCCUAUCUCUACGGCACGGGCUGCCACCACACCACCAUCUGCGGCUCCUGCGGUAAGGCCAUGGCGCACGCCCUGCUCCGCCUCGGUCACCAAUUCCUUUUGACGCCUCCUAAUCGAUGGUGGAGGCGCCAACGACGAAGCAAGCAGCCGGCCGCCGCAGCCACG